AUACUUACCUGGCAGGGGAGAUACCAUGAUCAGGAAGGUGGUUUUCCCAGGGCGUGAUUCACCCAUUGCACUUGGGGUGUGCUGACCCCUGUGAUUUCCCCAAAUGCGAGAAACUUGAUUGCAUAAUUUGUGGUAAUGGGGGAGCUGUGUCCGCGCGCUCCCCUU
ensembl:snRNA Gm24405 U1 spliceosomal RNA